UUAACCCAGUAAUCGAGGCCAGGUAUCCAAGCACAGUCCUCAUGGAUACUAGUUGGGUUUGUUACCUGAGUCAAGGGGCCAGUGGCAACACUCCAGUCUUUAGUUCAUUUUGAGUGUAUUUUCUUGUACAGUGUAAGAGAAGGGUCCAAUUUUAUUUGUGUGUGUGUGUAUAGUUUUCUCAAACCUAUAUUUUGAGGAUACUACCAUUUCCCCAUUGGGAAGUCUUGUCUAAAAUUUAGAUGAUUUAAAAAAAAAAAAUCUACUGGCAGGCAGGUGGGUCUCGGAUGAGAAACAUCCGGGAGCUAUGGCCCCUUCUCCUCCCAGAUUCAUGUAUAAGGAGUUUAGUUCACAUCAGCUAUCACAAAAUAUAUCCUGUGGCUGGGCUUCCCUAUGCUCCCCACCCCAUACCAGUCAGAGUUACAGGAUACCACCCCCGGCCCCCUAGCUCUGGGCAGUCAGUGGGAAAGCGCACAGGGGCUCAAACAGCGUAAGCAGGAAAGCCGGAAGCGAGAACUAAGGAGUGAAUUGCGCAUGCGCAGGCCGUAACUCUCUUGCCCUCCAGGGAGGGACCCAAAAGGCUUGGUGUAGCGCUGCUGCUUCUGGCCGGGUCACCUAGGGCUGCUGUCCUAAGUCUGUCAAGGUCAAGGCUGCUGCAACUAGAUGAGCCUUACGGCUAUCCUAAAGUCAGCUUUUUUUUUUUUUUUUUUUUUUUUUUCCUUUUUUUCUGCUCGGAGCUUUUAGGUAUCUAAAAUUCGUACCAGGAGACCAACUCUGCCUAUCCCUCAAAUAUUUGCCUUUAAGGGCAGCGUCUGUGCAGCGUUACUCUCAGUUUCUGACCCAACCCAUCUAGCGGCAGUCUAGGGAAGCUGGCUGCUCUAUCCAGUCUCCUCCCUCAGGAACUAUUUUCAUCUUUGAACACCCUCAGGGAUGCUCACAGCAGGGGCUGGGAGCCUGGUCCAGGAAGAAGCAGGGAACUCUGGGUUUCCUCCCUGUUUGUGCUGCAGAGUGAGCGCCAAGGGGAAGGACUGGAUGCAUUGGCAGCCUGAGGAGACAUUGUGUCGUCUGGGUUGAAGGUGCUGAUUCCUAAAUAACAUCUUUCAUCCUGAACUUCAUCUCAACAUCUGCCCCUGGAGUGGUUAACUUAUGACAGUCCUAACUUACUUAUUCCUGUAUCCCUCCAUCCUGUGUGCCUGAUUAAGCCUCACCCAGAUAAACCCACUGAGUUGCAGCUGCAACCUAUGCCAGAUCCUUUAACCUACUGUGCUAGGCUGGGGAUCAAACCUGCAUCUCUACAGUGACCUGAGCUGCCGCAGUUGGAAUCUUAACCCACUGGGCCACAGCAGAAACUCCCUAUGUUCUUUUGCCCUUGAUCUCAUUCAGUCUUGCCUUCUUAUGGACUUUGUGUUUGCACUGUUACUCUCUUUCUCUGGCAACUUUAGUUUUUCUCUGUUUGCUUGUUGAUUCUCACGCAGACUAGUAUAGCUAGGGACAGUUCAUAGUAGAGACUGAAAUGAUAAACUCUAAAGACAGACUGCCUUGGUUUAAACACUGGCUCCAGUCUUCAGUAGGUGAAGCACAUUUCCUCUGUCUCUCUCUGUCUUACUCCCCUCAUGUAGCAACUGGGGAUUGUAUUUAGUAUUUCUCUUAUAGGGAUUUUGUGAAGUUUUGUAAGUAAAAAUCAGGGAAUGCGUUUAGAAGAGCACCUGGCACAUAAUAAUCACACAGUAAAUAGUAGGAACUGAUAGUGUUUAUAUCUUCCAUCUCACCUAUCAUGCAAGCCACCCCCCAAAUCUCUUUGGAUAGAUCUUCUUCUAGAUCUUACUCCAUUUCUCUGACCUCCUUCAACAUCAGAAUUGAUAGGUUUUUCAUAUUUCCAUCUCCUAUGUCCCAUUUUCUCCUCAUUGCACUCUGGUGUGGCUCCCUUCCCUGCCUCUCCAUUUCCCACUCCUCGCCAAGUCAUCUGUGAAAAGCCACAGAUCCAUGCCCAAAUCCAAUGGUAUUUUUCUACUGCUUUAUACAGAUCUCUCAGCAUGUUUUGACAUAGUGAUGAUAAAAUCUUCUCCAAAAACAGUCCAACAUGGUUAUUUUAUUACCAUGAUUUCAUUACUGUGAUCCCACCACUUCCUGGUUUUCCAGGCACCUUUCAGAGAGCACUUCUCUGAUUUCUUUGCAACUCCUUCUAUGUUAACCUUUAACUAUUGGUUUUCCUCUUAGCACUAGGUUCUUCGACUUUUCCUCAGUUAUACUGCUCUUUUCUAGGUGAUCUCAUCUGUCCCUGUGGUCUUAACUGUCAUUAAAUUAAAUUAAAAAUUUCCUGCUGUGGCCUGUCUACUUAAUUACAAGUAUAUGUGUCCAAUGACUUACUUGUUAUCCCCACUGGGAUGAAAAACUCUUGAUUUUCCUUUCCACUUAGACUUGUUUCUCCUCUAGUCAUCUCCAUUUAGCAAAUGGUAACAUCUAGUUUCAAGCACCAAUCAAGAGAAUUGUAUUGAUUCUUUCUUUUUUAAAAAAAGAAAAUAUUGGCAC